rnacentral:rRNA from 1 species
GGUUUCGUCUCGGGUAGCCUCACGGUUUUCACCCGGUCCGGAAUCCUCCUCGUGGCAAACCAGGGUUCUCUUAACUGGGCGCUCUGGGGAACCACGACGUUUACUUUGAGAAAAUUAGAGUGUUCAAAGCAAGCGUUCGCUUGAAUACAUUAGCAUGGAAUAAUGGAAUAGGGCUCCGGUUCUAUUUUGUUGGUUUUCAGCUACCGAAGCA